AUGCUGACAGUAACGUGUAAUUGUACCUUUCUUUUCAGAUUUCUGGAUGUUGGCGUGAGAAAACAAAAAACCAGAGCAGCAGUCACCAGCGCCCGGCUUACUGGGGCCGUGCUGACCAGCUCAAAGGAGGGGCACGUCCCAGUUACCCACAUGCAAGGAGGUUGUCAAACAGAGAAAUCACUGCAGACUGUUGGUACACAGACAUCUGCUGCCCAGCUCAGGAGUUUAAGUUUCUACAUUUGUAUGUAGUACCUUGAUGAGGUGAUGGUGAGGACAGCCACAGCUUACAUCUGGUAGAGGACUGCUUCCGCUCAAAGUCUUUCAAAUAGUGAUGAGAACAAGGAUCACCACAUAUCCCUGGUCAUCUGUCUACAACUAUAUAGUAUUUAGCUAUACUUGUAUGAAACACUUUCAGCUAUUUCUUGAGAAAUUAAUAUAGCAUCAGAGCAUUUAACAAUAUAUGCAAAUAUGCAACACAAUUCAUUAUGGGUAAUGCAUUGUGCUGUAAAUAACAUAACAGAAACUGAAGUGAAAAGAAGUGACCCUUGCAAUGAUUGAUUAAUGGUCGUGUAUUAGAAUUUUUAUAUUUACAUCAGUGCUUUUCCUGCUUUCAAGUUGAGGAAAGUUGAAAAAGAUCCCAGAAAGAUUCAGAUGAAACUGAAAAGGUUAAUUUGAUAAAAUAUCGCUGUAUCGAAACAGCUAAAUAGUUUUGAGUCCAAGAGCAGAAAAAAAGCUAAAAGUUAGGUAAACAUUUAUAACAGCUGACAGUAGCUGCAGAGGAAAUAGUUGAAUUUUAAAUUUGUAGCAUUGGAGGAAGCAUGUGUACAUAAUUGCUAAACAGUAAAAUAGUCUCAUUAAUUAAUCACAAUUAACCUGUCAAAUGCGGAAAAAAGUGCUAUUUAGGCUAAAGAUUUAAAUUGGUGCUUUUAUUAUGAAAGGAUAUGAAGGAAGUGUGUGUGCCUAAUUACUAAACUAUAAAAUAGUCUAAUUAAGUAGUCCUAUUUAAAGAGCCAAAUCCAGAAAUCUUGCUGUGAAAAUAAUAGUUUUAGACUGGUGCUUUUAUUUUGAAAGGGAUGUGUGUGGGCAAUUGAUAAAACUGUAAGAUAGUCUUAUUGUUUAGCUAAAAUAAACAAAAUGAAUAAAUAACAAAGCUAAGAAAUUGCUAAAAUGUAAAUCAGUAUUAUUAACUACUCAUAAUAAACCACUUGAAAACAGUAACAUUGCUAUUUUUAGCUAAAUAUCUGGAUUGGUGCUUUUAUUUUUGAAAGGUUGAGGAAGCAUAUGCAAGUAAUUGCUAAACAGUAAAAUAGUCUUAUUAACUAGUCAUAAUAAAUGAGUUGAAAGCAAAAAUAUUGCUUCUUUUUUAGCUAAAGUUUUAGACUGGUGCUUUUAUUUUGGAAGAAUAUGGAGGAAGCAUGCGCAUGUAAUUGCUAAACUGUAACAAAGUCUCAUUACCUAGUCACAAUUACACAUUCAAAAGCAAAAAGGUAGAAAUGGUGCUAUGAAAGCUAAAGAUUUGGACUUGUUGCUUUUAUUUUGAAUGGGUUUCGAGGAGGUGAGUGUAUGCGUAAGACCUAAACUUUAAAAUAAUCUAACUAAACACAAUUAUCUAUUAAAAAGCAUAAAUAGUGCUAAUACGGCUAAAUAUAUAGAUUGGUGCGUUUAUUUUGAAAUGACAUGGACGACAUGUAUAUUGCAAACAAACAAAAAGCUAAAGGUUGCAAUAGUUUAAAAGUAGACCUGAUGCAAAGGUGAAUAUGCUAAUGAAAUGAUCCAUGGAUCAGAGGU
rnacentral:lncRNA from 1 species